rnacentral:tRNA from 1 species
GUUGAUUGGGUGUAUAUGCAUUCUAAAUUUUCGUUUUAGAGGAGGCCUUUUAUUGGGGAGGGGCUAAUCAAUA